rnacentral:lncRNA from 1 species
AAAAAUUUAGGAGAUAGGGUCUAGGAAUCCCUAGUUUUGAUCAGAUGAAUUCCUCUGGUCAACUACCAUCAACCAACUUGCUAACUUGCAAUUCUCUUGACUUUUGGGACUCAUGGGAGAUUAUAUAUGCAUAAGAUGAUGAAAUUUGAAGUAUACCUUUAAAUAUUUGAUCAAAUGUUGAAGAAGCUUGGUGAAGAAGUUACACAAGAUACCUAGAUGAACUAGGGUUUCCAAGGCAAA